AAUAGUCAGGCGUCCCUUUACCUAUGGGUAUGUCCAGACAAUCUGUUUAUUGAGCAUUCAUCCUGAUUCACUUGUACAAAAAGCUUACAUGCAGGUUAGAUUAUGAACAGUGGUCACCUAACUUUUGUUCAGAGUAGAUCUAUUGAAGUUAAUGGACCUAAUGUAGCUGUAUUCAUUAAUUGAAAUAGUUUACUCUGGGUAAACCUAGUCUCAAUGGCCCAACAUAACAUUUGCCAAAGAGCCGAUUGGUAAUACUCUGUUGAUUGCAAACAUAUAGAUGGCUUUUGCUCACCAUGACAAAAAGCAACUUUUUCUUUCUCCUUGCGGCGAAGCUAUAUCAGCAGCAGACGGCCUAAAUGCUGCUGAAUUUAUCCAGUGUUCUCUCCCCCAUACUUAGGAGGGCAUUGAAGGCCAUUUCCCAACCUUGCCUUUACUCACUCAUGUCUUAAGAUGUGAAGCACCUUCAGAAGAUGAAGAAGAGGCUUUGUAGGCUUCCCAUCGGCAACUGAUUAGCCACUAUGAGAACAGGAUGUUAGACUAGAUGGGCCUUUGGCCUGAUCCAGCAGGGCUUUCCUUAGGUUUUUAUGUGCUUUCUCACUAAGAGAAAAAUAAAAAGAAAACCACCAUCAGCAUUGUCUCCUGGAGUCUUCUUCUCUUCCCUUCAAUCUUUCACAUGCAGACAACUUGCUCCAAAUCCCUUUAUUCUCUCCAGUGGUGUAGUGGGAAAUUAUGAAGCACAGGAGCUCAUCAUGACAGGUCCCAGCAGCAGGGGCAUUGCUUGAUCUUUUGGAACAAAUCUGG